GUCGGCCAGGGGCACACACGCAGGGACAGCUGGGCUGCCACAGCAUCUAUUGUCCCGGUCACCUACAGGACCGGUACAGGCAGCACAACUUGACUUUGUGUUGGCAUCCCCACCCCAAAGGAUGUAGUGGGUUGAAUCCAGGACAGGGUGAACCUCUGCAACACCUGUGAGAACCAGACAAGUUGGUCCCUUCCUCUGCAGAUGGAGAACCUGAGAUACGCUGGGUGUAGCUACCAAGGAUUGUAGCCUCCAGGAGCCCAGGUUGAGCAUGACGGACACAUGUGGGCAGAGAUAGUCCUUGGCCUAAGCAGCCAAAGUAGGAGACCAGAGCAAGAGCAGAGGUUUAUGUAGAGGAGCCUCAGUGGCUGGCUUGGAUCAGAAAGUAGAGUUUUAGAUGGUGAAAGCUAAAUGAGGUGGAUCCCCGUGGUCAUCCAGGGAACAUGUGGCAAUGUCAGGAGUUUAACCAGAUCUAGCUCAGUGACUGAAUCAGACUGUGACUAUCCCUGAGGAUGUAGA